GACGAACGCUGGCGGCGUGCUUAACACAUGCAAGUCGAACGGAAAGGCCCGGCUUUUGUGGGGUGCUCGAGUGGCGAACGGGUGAGUAACACGUGAGUAACCUCCCCUUGACUGUGUGAGAACUUCAGGGAACUGGGGCUAAUACCGGAUAUGAGCUCCUGCUGCAUGUGGGUGGUUGGAAAGUUUCGGCGGUUGGGUAUGGACUCGCGGCUUAUCAGCUUGUUGGGCGGGUAGUGGCUUACCAGGGCUUUGACGGGUAGCCGGCCUGAGAGGGUGACCGGCCACAUUGGGACUGAGAUACGGACCAGACGCCUACGGGAGGCAGCAGUGGGGAAUAUUGCACAAUGGGCGGAAGCCUGAUGAAGCAACGCCGCGUGCGGGAUGACGGCCUUCGGGUUGUAAACCGCUUUCGACUGUGACGAAGCGUGAGUGACGGUAAUGGGUAAAGAAGCAACGGCUAACUACGUG
rnacentral:rRNA from 1 species